rnacentral:rRNA from 1 species
UUUGAUGAGGGUUUGAUCCUGGCUCAGGACGAACGCUGGCGGCGCGCCUUACGCAUGCAAGUCGAACGCCCCGGUUCGCCGGGGAGUGGCAGACGGCUGAGUAACGCGUAGGUAACCUG